rnacentral:misc_RNA from 1 species
UGCAAUUUUGUCAAACUUAUGUCAGAUAUCAUCUUAAUGUGCGAGUGUUCUAUUGUUUCAGGAUUAGUGGAAGAUAUUAUUCAAUUUUAUAAGAGAGUAUAUAAUUUGGUAAAAGAUGAAGCUGCUGCCCAUUUAAGAUUUUUAACCUAGCACUUUGCUUUGAUCUUAAAUCGUACAUGCACGGUAACAUUUGGAUAUUAGUGAGAGAUAAUCUUCAAUUCUCUUUGAAGCAUAUACCGUUGGUAAGAG